UGGGGAAUUUUGGACAAUGGGCGAAAGCCUGAUCCAGCAAUGCCGCGUGUGUGAAGAAGGCCUCCGGGUUGUAAAGCACUUUUGUCCGGAAAGAAAUCCUUGGCUCUAAUACAGUCGGGGGAUGACGGUACCGGAAGAAUAAGCACCGGCUAACUACGUGCCAGCAGCCGCGGUAAUACGUAGGGUGCAAGCGUUAAUCGGAAUUACUGGGCGUAAAGCGUGCGCAGGCGGUUUGCUAAGACCGAUGUGAAAUCCCCGGGCUCAACCUGGGAACUGCAUUGGUGACUGGCAGGCUAGAGUAUGGCAGAGGGGGGUAGAAUUCCACGUGUAACAGUGAAAUGCGUAGAGAUGUGGAGGAAUACCGAUGGCGAAGGCAGCCCCCUGGGCCAAUACUGACGCUCAUGCACGAAAGCGUGGGGGAGCAAACAGGAUUAGAUACCCUGGUAGUCCACGCCCUAAACGAUGUCAACUAGUUGUUGGGGAUUCAUUUCCUUAGUAACGUAGCUAACGCGUGAAGUUGACCGCCUGGGGAGUACGGUCGCAAGAUUAAAACUCAAAGGAAUUGACGGGGUCAUAGCUGUUUCCU
rnacentral:rRNA from 1 species